rnacentral:rRNA from 1 species
AACGUGGGUGGCGAGCGUUAUCCGGAUUUACUGGGCGUAAAGCGCGUGUAGGCGGUUCGAUUAGUCGGGCAUGAAAGCUCUUGGCUCAACUGGGAGAUGCUGUUCGAUACUGUCGGGCUUGAGGAUGAGAGAGGGAAGUGGAAUUCCGGGUGUAGUGGUGAAAUGCGUAGAUAUCCGGAGGAACACCAGUGGCGAAGGCGACUUCCUGGCUCAUUUCUGACGCUGAGACGCGAAAGCGUGGGGAGCGAACGGG